GACCCCUAAACAAUCAGAGAUAGGAGAGGUGCGCCAACUACUGCACGCAAUAAAAUGCAGACUACUGAGCUAGACAGUCCAUUUAAUUCACACACGGCCACGCACACCACACACACACACACACACACAGGGUUGGCAGACUGCAUUGUACUUAUUUUAUGUGCAAUCUUAUUCCAUUCUUAUUAAUUUGUUUACAAUAUUCCUAAAUUAUUGACAACACGGUAUAUAAUAAUUAUUAUAUGUAAGGUGUGUGUGUGUGUGUGUGCGCGUGUAUGUAUGUGUGUAUGUAUGUAUGUGUGUAUGUGCAUGUAUGUAGUAUGGUAAUUAUAUAUGUAUGAAUGUAUGUGUGUGUAUGUAUAAUUGUAGUAUGUGUGUGUGUGUGUGUGGUGUGUGUUGUAUGUAUGUGGUGUAUAUAUAUAGUAUACUAAUAUAGGUAUGAUGUAUGUAUGUAGUCUGUAUGUAUGUAUGUAUGUAUGUAUGUAUGUAUGUAUGUAUGUGAAUAUCACUUAUUAUAAAUGAGAUCAUUAACUAUCAGCUCUUGGAAUAUCCAGGGCCUAUACUCUUCACAUUUUGGUUCUAAAACAACAAAUCCAGAAUUGAUUAAAAACAUCAAGGGACAGGACAUCAUAAUCCUACUGGAAACAUGGUGUCGUGGAGACAUAGAUAUUCAGUGUCCCUCAGGCUAUAGAGAAAGUUUACUACCAUCAAUCAAACAUAAAAAUGUUAAACGGGGCCGAGACUCAGGUGGAAUCAUCAUUUGGCAUAAGCAGGACUUAGCACUGAAUGAAAUGAAAAAAGGUACCACUCACAUUUGGCUAAAACUUAACAAAGGUACAAUCUAUUGUGACAAUGAUGUAUACAUAUGUGCAGCUUAUGCUCCUCCUUCAGAUUCAUCAUAUUAUGAUGAUCAGUUUUUUGACAAUCUCCAGACAGAAAUCAUUACAUUUCAGGCACAGGGUAAAGUGCUUCUUUGUGGAGAUUUCAAUGCAAGAACAGGUUCUGAGCCUGACUACACUGAUGCGGGAGGUAACCACCACAUAUUUGGACACCACUCCGUGUACAGUAGCCCUAUUAUAAAUAAUAGAAACAGUCCUGACCAAAUACUGAACAAAAAUGGAAAAGAGUUAGUACAUUUCUGUCGAACCUUAGGCCUGUACAUGCUUAAUGGUAGAAUCAGAGGGGACUCUUUAGGUCAGUUUACUUACUGCUCAGCUCUUGGGACAAGUGUAGUCGAUUAUGCCAUCACUGACAUUGACCCCUCCUCCAUUAGUGCAUUCACUGUCAGACCACAGACACCAUUGUCAGAUCACAGUCAGAUCAACGUGUUUCUGAAGAAAUUAACCGGCAAUAUUCAUUCAAAAAAACAGCCCAAUAAACUCUACAACGUAAACCAAUCGUACAGAUGGGCUCCAAACAGUGCAGAGACAUUCAUUGAAACAUUGAACUCAAAUGAAGUGAUGAACUCUAUACAGUUUUUCAAUAACUCACAGUACCAAAACAAUAAAGAUGGUGUCAAUUCAGCUACCCAAAACAUCAACUGUAUAUUCCAAAAAGCAGCAUCGAAAUCAAAUUUGAGAAAACCAAAGCAAUGCAACAUCAGAAGCAAAAAUCAAAAUGUUUCUGAAAAAUGGUUUGAUAAUGAAUGUAAAACAAUUAGAAAACACCUGAGACAAAUGUCAAACAAAAAACAUAAGCAGCAAAACAACCCAGAGCUACGAUAUGAAUACUUUGAAACUCUGAAACAGUAUAAACAAACACUGAAAUGCAAGAAAUUGAAUUAUACCAACAAGACACUUGAUGAAAUUGAAAACGCAAUUGACCAAAAUCAGUUCUGGGACAUGUGGAACAAUUUAAGCACAACAAAGCUACAAGAAUUAGCCAUACAAGAUGGAGGAAUUUGGAAAACUUAUUUUGAUAAUCUAUACAAAAACAUCCCACAAAAAGACUUACAACAGAACCAAUUAGAAAUUAAAGAAAAAUUUAACAUCCUUGAAUCAGUCAUUAAAAACAACCAAAAUCCAUUAGAUUACCCAAUAACCCAACCAGAACUAAAUGAAAAGCUAAAAUCUAUAAAAUCAAAGAAGGCUUGUGGUGUAGACAACAUCAGAAAUGAAAUGCUGAAAAACAGCACACCUGAGUUGCAAAAUGCUGUGCUUAAAUUGUUCAACAUGGUGUUNNNNNNNNNNNNNN
rnacentral:lncRNA from 1 species